AGACCCCGUGAACCUUUACUAUAGCUUGACACUGAACAUUGAGCCUUGAUGUGUAGGAUAGGUGGGAGGCUUUGAAGUGUGGACGCCAGUCUGCAUGGAGCCGACCUUGAAAUACCACCCUUUAAUGUUUGAUGUUCUAACGUUGGCCCCUGAUCGGGGUUGCGGACAGUGUCUGGUGGGUAGUUUGACUGGGGCGGUCUCCUCCUAAAGAGUAACGGAGGAGCACGAAGGUUGGCUAAUCCUGGUCGGACAUCAGGAGGUUAGUGCAAUGGCAUAAGCCAGCUUGACUGCGAGCGUGACGGCGCGAGCAGGUGCGAAAGCAGGUCAUAGUGAUCCGGUGGUUCUGAAUGGAAGGGCCAUCGCUCAACGGAUAAAAGGUACUCCGGGGAUAACAGGCUGAUACCGCCCAAGAGUUCAUAUCGACGGCGGUGUUUGGCACCUCGAUGUCGGCUCAUCACAUCCUGGGGCUGAAGUAGGUCCCAAGGGUAUGGCUGUUCGCCAUUUAAAGUGGUACGCGAGCUGGGUUUAGAACGUCGUGAGACAGUUCGGUCCCUAUCUGCCGUGGGCGCUGGAGAACUGAGGGGGGCUGCUCCUAGUACGAGAGGACCGGAGUGGACGCAUCACUGGUGUUCGGGUUGUCAUGCCAAUGGCACUGCCCGGUAGCUAAAUGCGGAAGAGAUAAGUGCUGAAAGCAUCUAAGCACGAAACUUGCC
rnacentral:rRNA from 1 species